rnacentral:rRNA from 1 species
CCUACGGGAGGCAGCAGUGGGGAAUUUUGGACAAUGGGCGCAAGCCUGAUCCAGCAAUGCCGCGUGAGUGAAGAAGGCCUUCGGGUUGUAAAGCUCUUUUGUCAGGGAAGAAACGGCUCCAGCUAAUAUCUGGGGCUAAUGACGGUACCUGAAGAAUAAGCACCGGCUAACUACGUGCCAGCAGCCGCGGUAAUACGUAGGGUGCAAGCGUUAAUCGGAAUUACUGGGCGUAAAGCGUGCGCAGGCGGUUUUGUAAGUCUGUCGUGAAAGCCCCGGGCUCAACCUGGGAAUUGCGAUGGAGACUGCAAGGCUUGAAUCUGGCAGAGGGGGGUAGAAUUCCACGUGUAGCAGUGAAAUGCGUAGAGAUGUGGAGGAACACCGAUGGCGAAGGCAGCCCCCUGGGUCAAGAUUGACGCUCAUGCACGAAAGCGUGGGGAGCAAACAGGAUUAGAUACCCUGGUAGUCCACGCCCUAAACGAUGUCUACUAGUUGUCGGGUUUUAAUUAACUUGGUAACGCAGCUAACGCGUGAAGUAGACCGCCUGGGGAUACGGUCGCAAGAUUAAAACUCAAAUGAAUUGACCGGNUGAGAGNGCGAGACGACGACGAGGGAGGAGG